rnacentral:rRNA from 1 species
UCGGACGGCCAAAGUGGCCAGGUUCCACCCGUUCCCAUUUCGAACACGGAAGUUAAACUGGCCGACGUAUCGGGGUGUACUGCGUUUUUGCGCGGGAAACCCGAUUCGCUGUCCACC